CCGUUGACUUUGUGGACUGCUGAUAUUUUCCAGGCGGACUGCAGGGCAGAGUGUUUUUUAUGUUUUCCAUGCAGCAGAUGUGGACCAAUUCUGGGCACUGCUGAGCUGUGCUCUAAGCUCUCGGGAUUCAGGAAGGAAGGCAGAUGGAGCCUCGGGCCUGAGCAGCACUUAGUCCAGUGGGUCUCGUUCUUGACAGAUGUAAGAGCUCAAAACGGCCCUCUUUGUCCGUCUUCAAGAGGGCAGAGUGAACCAGUGACAGAAUCCGGCUGGGGCUCAUGGAUAUCCCAGCCUCUCACACGCACACGCGUGAGAGGCAGGAAGGACAGAAGUCACACCCGGCCACAAUAGCAAAUGUGCCAACGGCAUGAGGCAGACUGAAGGUGCCCCUGGCACAUCCUAGCUUAUUCAAAGCACAGGCUCUACGUCUGGAGCCAUCAGUGGAGAUUCCAGGCUACUUACAGGGGCCCUGAUGGCGCUCAAGUGCACUGGCUUGCUGCUCCUGCCGGCCCACGCUACACUACAGCCUCUGAGCUGCCUCUCCGACUCACACCCCUCUGGGGUUGGAAGGCACAGGAGAAGAGGCAGUUCAGGGACUCUUCCUCAUCUGGACGCCGUCACCUCAGACCUAAAUGCUUGGAGCUGCUGCCUCAGUGCUGCCUGGGAACACAGCCCGGGAACUGACAAACGAGCUGCAGCCCCUCAUUUUACCCUUCUACUAUCCUAAGAAGAAAAGAAGGGGUGUGGGAAUCUGAAUA